rnacentral:rRNA from 1 species
AUUGAACGCUGGCGGCAGGCCUAACACAUGCAAGUCGAGCGGAUGAAGGGAGCUUGCUCCUGGAUUCAGCGGCGGACGGGUGAGUAAUGCCUAGGAAUCUGCCUGGGAGUGGGGGAUAACGUCCGGAAACGGGCGCUAAUACCGCAUACGUCCUGAGGGAGAAAGUGGGGGAUCUUCGGACCUCACGCUAUCAGAUGAGCCUAGGUCGGAUUAGCUAGUUGGUGGGGUAAAGGCCUACCAAGGCGAGGAUCCGUAACUGGUCUGAGAGGAUGAUCAGUCACACUGGAGCUGGGACACGGUCCAGGCUCCUACGGGAGGCAGCAGUGGGGAAUGUUGGACAGUGGGCGGAAGCCUGGUCCAGCCAUGCCGCGUGUGUGAAGAAGGUCUUCGGAUUGUAAAGCACUUUAAGUUGUGAGGAAGGGCAGUAAGUUGAUACCUUGCUGUUUUGACGUUACCAACAGAAUAAGCACCGGCUAACUUCGUG